GGUUAAGCGACUAAGCGUACACGGUGGAUGCCCUGGCAGUCAGAGGCGAUGAAGGACGUGCUAAUCUGCGAAAAGCGUCGGUAAGGUGAUAUGAACCGUUAUAGCCGGCGAUGUCCGAAUGGGGAAACCCAGUGCAAUUCGUUGCACUAUCGUUAACUGAAUACAUAGGUUAACGAGGCGAACCGGGGGAACUGAAACAUCUAAGUACCCCGAGGAAAAGAAAUCAACCGAGAUUCCCCCAGUAGCGGCGAGCGAACGGGGAGCAGCCCAGAGUCUGAAUCAGCUUGUGUGUUAGUGGAACGGUCUGGAAAGUCCGACGGUACAGGGUGAUAGUCCCGUACACCAAAAUGCACAGGCUGUGAACUCGAAGAGUAGGGCGGGACACGUGGUAUCCUGUCUGAAUAUGGGGGGACCAUCCUCCAAGGCUAAAUACUCCUGACUGACCGAUAGUGAACCAGUACCGUGAGGGAAAGGCGAAAAGAACCCCGGCGAGGGGAGUGAAAAAGAACCUGAAACCGUGUACGUACAAGCAGUGGGAGCACCUUCGGGUGUGACUGCGUACCUUUUGUAUAAUGGGUCAGCGACUUAUAUUCUGUAGCAAGGUUAACCGUAUAGGGGAGCCGCAGGGAAACCGAGUCUUAACUGGGCGUUAAGUUGCAGGGUAUAGACCCGAAACCCGGUGAUCUAGCCAUGGGCAGGUUGAAGGUUGGGUAACACUAACUGGAGGACCGAACCGACUAAUGUUGAAAAAUUAGCGGAUGACUUGUGGCUGGGGGUGAAAGGCCAAUCAAACCGGGAGAUAGCUGGUUCUCCCCGAAAGCUAUUUAGGUAGCGCCUCGUGAACUCAUCUUCGGGGGUAGAGCACUGUUUCGGCUAGGGGGUCAUCCCGACUUACCAACCCGAUGCAAACUACGAAUACCGAAGAAUGUUAUCACGGGAGACACACGGCGGGUGCUAACGUCCGUCGUGAAGAGGGAAACAACCCAGACCGCCAGCUAAGGUCCCAAAGUCAUGGUUAAGUGGGAAACGAUGUGGGAAGGCACAGACAGCCAGGAUGUUGGCUUAGAAGCAGCCAUCAUUUAAAGAAAGCGUAAUAGCUCACUGGUCGAGUCGGCCUGCGCGGAAGAUGUAACGGGGCUAAACCAUGCACCGAAGCUGCGGCAGCGACACUAUGUGUUGUUGGGUAGGGGAGCGUUCUGUAAGCCUGCGAAGGUGACCUGUGAGGGUUGCUGGAGGUAUCAGAAGUGCGAAUGCUGACAUAAGUAACGAUAAAGCGGGUGAAAAGCCCGCUCGCCGGAAGACCAAGGGUUCCUGUCCAACGUUAAUCGGGGCAGGGUGAGUCGACCCCUAAGGCGAGGCCGAAAGGCGUAGUCGAUGGGAAACAGGUUAAUAUUCCUGUACUUGGUGUUACUGCGAAGGGGGGACGGAGAAGGCUAUGUUAGCCGGGCGACGGUUGUCCCGGUUUAAGCAUGUAGGCUGAUUGUCCAGGCAAAUCCGGAUAAUCAAGGCUGAGGUGUGAUGACGAGGCACUACGGUGCUGAAGUAACAAAUGCCCUGCUUCCAGGAAAAGCCUCUAAGCAUCAGGUAACAUCAAAUCGUACCCCAAACCGACACAGGUGGUCAGGUAGAGAAUACCAAGGCGCUUGAGAGAACUCGGGUGAAGGAACUAGGCAAAAUGGUGCCGUAACUUCGGGAGAAGGCACGCUGGUGUGUAGGUGAAGUCCCUGCGGAUGGAGCUGAGACCAGUCGAAGAUACCAGCUGGCUGCAACUGUUUAUUAAAAACACAGCACUGUGCAAACACGAAAGUGGACGUAUACGGUGUGACGCCUGCCCGGUGCCGGAAGGUUAAUUGAUGGGGUUAUCCGUAAGGAGAAGCUCUUGAUCGAAGCCCCGGUAAACGGCGGCCGUAACUAUAACGGUCCUAAGGUAGCGAAAUUCCUUGUCGGGUAAGUUCCGACCUGCACGAAUGGCGUAAUGAUGGCCAGGCUGUCUCCACCCGAGACUCAGUGAAAUUGAACUCGCUGUGAAGAUGCAGUGUACCCGCGGCAAGACGGAAAGACCCCGUGAACCUUUACUAUAGCUUGACACUGAACAUUGAGCCUUGAUGUGUAGGAUAGGUGGGAGGCUUUGAAGCGUGGACGCCAGUCUGCGUGGAGCCAACCUUGAAAUACCACCCUUUAAUGUUUGAUGUUCUAACGUUGGCCCCUGACCGGGGUUGCGGACAGUGUCUGGUGGGUAGUUUGACUGGGGCGGUCUCCUCCCAAAGCGUAACGGAGGAGCACGAAGGUUAGCUAAUCCUGGUCGGACAUCAGGAGGUUAGUGCAAUGGCAUAAGCUAGCUUGACUGCGAGCGUGACGGCGCGAGCAGGUGCGAAAGCAGGUCAUAGUGAUCCGGUGGUUCUGAAUGGAAGGGCCAUCGCUCAACGGAUAAAAGGUACUCCGGGGAUAACAGGCUGAUACCGCCCAAGAGUUCAUAUCGACGGCGGUGUUUGGCACCUCGAUGUCGGCUCAUCACAUCCUGGGGCUGAAGUAGGUCCCAAGGGUAUGGCUGUUCGCCAUUUAAAGUGGUACGCGAGCUGGGUUUAGAACGUCGUGAGACAGUUCGGUCCCUAUCUGCCGUGGGCGCUGGAGAAUUGAGGGGGGCUGCUCCUAGUACGAGAGGACCGGAGUGGACGCAUCACUGGUGUUCGGGUUGUCAUGCCAAUGGCACUGCCCGGUAGCUAAAUGCGGAAGAGAUAAGUGCUGAAAGCAUCUAAGCACGAAACUUGCCCCGAGAUGAGUUCUCCCUGAGACUUUAAGUCUCCUGAAGGAACGUUGAAGACGACGACGUUGAUAGGCCGGGUGUGUAAGCGCAGCGAUGCGUUGAGCUAACCGGUACUAAUGAACCGUGAGGCUUAACCUU
rnacentral:rRNA from 1 species